GUAGGGAAUAUUGCGCAAUGGGGGAAACCCUGACGCAGCAACGCCGCGUGAGUGAGGAAGGUCUUCGGAUUGUAAAACUCUUUUAUUAGGGAAAAAUGUCUAGGUGGCUAAUAUCCACUUAGAGUGAUGGUACCUAAGGAAUAAGCACCGGCUAACUUCGUGCCAGCAGCCGCGGUAAUACGAAGGGUGCAAGCGUUGUUCGGAAUCAUUGGGCGUAAAGCGCGCGCAGGCGGGUCAGUAAGUCAGGUGUGAAAUCUCGGAGCUCAACUCCGAAACUGCGCCUGAAACUAUUGGUCUAGAGUAUCGGAGGGGACAGGGGAAUUUCACGUGUAGGGGUAAAAUCCGUAGAGAUGUGAAGGAACACCGGAGGCGAAGGCGCCUGUCUGGACGAUUACUGACGCUGAGGCGCGAAAGCGUGGGGAGCAAACAGGAUUAGAAACCCCAGUAGUC
rnacentral:rRNA from 1 species